GAUGAACGCUGGCGGCAUGCCUUACACAUGCAAGUCGAACGGCAGCACGGGAGCAAUCCUGGUGGCGAGUGGCGAACGGGUGAGUAAUAUAUCGGAACGUGCCCAGUAGUGGGGGAUAACUGCUCGAAAGAGCAGCUAAUACCGCAUACGACCUGAGGGUGAAAGGGGGGGAUCGCAAGACCUCUCGCUAUUGGAGCGGCCGAUAUCAGAUUAGCUAGUUGGUGGGGUAAAGGCCUACCAAGGCAACGAUCUGUAGUUGGUCUGAGAGGACGACCAGCCACACUGGGACUGAGACACGGCCCAGACUCCUACGGGAGGCAGCAGUGGGGAAUUUUGGACAAUGGGCGCAAGCCUGAUCCAGCAAUGCCGCGUGCAGGAAGAAGGCCUUCGGGUUGUAAACUGCUUUUGUCAGGGAAGAAAUCCUCUAGGUUAAUACCCUUGGGGGGAUGACGGUACCUGAAGAAUAAGCACCGGCUAACUACGUGCCAGCCGCCGCGGUAACAC
rnacentral:rRNA from 1 species